rnacentral:rRNA from 1 species
CCCCUAGUAGCGGCGAGCGAAGCGGGAAGAGCUCAAAUUUAUAAUCUGGCACCUUCGGUGUCCGAGUUGUAAUCUCUAGAAAUGUUUUCCGCGUUGGACCGCACACAAGUCUGUUGGAAUACAGCGGCAUAGUGGUGAGACCCCCGUAUAUGGUGCGGACGCCCAGCGCUUUGUGAUACAUUUUCGAAGAGUCGAGUUGUUUGGGAAUGCAGCUCAAAUUGGGUGGUAAAUUCCAUCUAAAGCUAAAUAUUGGCGAGAGACCGAUAGCGAACAAGUACCGUGAGGGAAAGAUGAAAAGCACUUUGGAAAGAGAGUUAACAGUACGUGAAAUUGUUGGAAGGGAAACGCUUGAAGUCAGACUUGCUUGCCGAGCAAUCGGUUUGCAGGCCAGCAUCAGUUUUCCGGGAUGGAUAAUGGUAGAGAGAAGGUAGCAGUUUCGGCUGUGUUAUAGCUCUCUGCUGGAUACAUCUUGGGGGACUGAGGAACGCAGUGUGCCUUUGGCGGGGGUUUCGACCUCUUCACACUUAGGAUGCUGGUGGAAUGGCUUUAAACGACCCGU